rnacentral:rRNA from 1 species
UUUUUUUUGUUUUUAAUUUAAAGUAUAACCUGCCCACUGAUGUUUUAUUGAAUGGCCGCGGUAAUUUGACCGUGCAAAGGUAGCAUAAUCAUUAGUCUUUUUAUUGGAGACUGGAAUGAAUGGUUUAACGAGAUACAUACUGUGUUUAUGAUAUUUUAUUUGAAUUUGAUUAUUGAGUUAAAAGGCUUGAAUUUAGUUAUGGGACGAGAAGACCCUAUAGAGUUUAAUAUUAAUAUUUGUUGUUUGUGUGUUGGUUGUUUAUGUUGUAUAAUAUUAUUAUUUGGUUGGGGUGAUUGGAAGAUAAAUUGAACUCUUUUUAUUAUUUUGAUAUUUAUUUAUAGGUGUAUUGAUCCAUUAUUUAUGAUUAUAAGACUAAAUUACCUUAGGGAUAACAGCGUUAUUUUUUUUGAGAGUUCUUAUCGACAAUAAGGAUUGCGA